UACGUAGGGUGCAAGCGUUGUCCGGAAUUAUUGGGCGUAAAGAGCUCGUAGGCGGUCUGUUACGUCGGCUGUGAAAACCUGGGGCUCACCCUGGGCCUGCAACCGAUACGGGUAGACUAGAAUUCGGUAGGGGAGACUGGAAUUCCUGGUGUAGGCGGUAGGAAUGCGCAGAGUAUCAGGAGGAACACCGGUGGCGAAGGCGGGUCUCUGGGCAACAACUGACGCUGAGGAAGCGAAAGGCGUGGGGAGCGAACAGG
rnacentral:rRNA from 1 species